rnacentral:rRNA from 1 species
UCAAGAAACUUCCACAAUGGGCGAAAGCCUGAUGGAGCGACGUCGCGUGAUGGACGAAGUGCUUCGGCACGUAAACAUCUUUUUAUGUGGGAUGAAAUUAUUGACAGUACCACAUGAAUAAGGGGCUCCUAACUCUGUGCCAGCAGGAGCGGUAAUACAGAGGCCCCAAGCGUUAUCCGGAAUCACUGGGCGUAAAGAGUGCGUAGGCGGUUGGGUAAGUUAGAUUUGAAAGCCCGGGGCUCAACUCCGGAUCCGGAUCUAAAACUGCCCGACUGGAGCGAAUCAGAGGACAACGGAAUUCCCGGUGUAGCGGUAAUAUGCGUAGAUAUCGGGAGGAACACCAGUGGCGAAGGCGGUUGUCUGGGGUUUUGCUGACGCUGAGGCACGAAAGCCAGGGGAGCGAACGGGAUUAGAUACCCACGUAGUCCCUGAGCGGGCUGGCAAGGCGCAU